GAUGAACGCUGGCGGCGUGCCUAAUACAUGCAAGUCGAGCGAACAGAUGAGGAUCUUGCUCCUCUGACGUUAGCGGCGGACGGGUGAGUAACACGUGGAUAACCUACCUAUAAGACUGGGAUAACUUCGGGAAACCGGAGCUAAUACCGGAUAAUAUAGUGAACCGCAUGGUUCAAUAGUGAAAGACGGUUUUGCUGUCACUUAUAGAUGGAUCCGCGCCGCAUUAGCUAGUUGGUAAGGUAACGGCUUACCAAGGCAACGAUGCGUAGCCGACCUGAGAGGGUGAUCGGCCACACUGGAACUGAGACACGGUCCAGACUCCUACGGGAGGCAGCAGUAGGGAAUCUUCCGCAAUGGGCGAAAGCCUGACGGAGCAACGCCGCGUGAGUGAUGAAGGUCUUCGGAUCGUAAAACUCUGUUAUUAGGGAAGAACAAAUGUGUAAGUAACUAUGCACGUCUUGACGGUACCUAAUCAGAAAGCCACGGCUAACUACGUG
rnacentral:rRNA from 1 species